AUAUCAAUAAGCGGAGGAAAAGAAACCAACAGGGAUUGCCCUAGUAACGGCGAGUGAAGCGGCACAAGCUCAAAUUUGAAAUCUGGCUUCGGCCCGAGUUGUAAUUUGGAGAGGAUGUUUCGGGCACCGCCAUGGCUUAAGUUUCUUGGAACAGAAUGUCAGAGAGGGUGAGAAUCCCGUCUGGAGCCUCGGUAGGACCCAUGUGAAACUCCUUCGACGAGUCGAGUUGUUUGGGAAUGCAGCUCAAAAUGGGUGGUAAAUUUCAUCUAAAAGCUAAAUAUUGGCCAGAGACCGAUAGCGCACAAGUAGAGUGAUCGAAAGAUGAAAAGCACUUUGAAAAGAGAGUUGAAACAGUAC
rnacentral:rRNA from 1 species